rnacentral:SRP_RNA from 1 species
GCCGGGUGUGGUGGCGCGUGCCUGUAGUCCCAGCUACUCGGGAGGCUGAGGUGGGAGGAUCGCUUGAGCCCAGGAGUUCUGGGCUGUAGCAGUAUGCCAAUCGGGUGUCCUCACUAAGUUUGGCAUCAAUAUGGUGACCUCCUGGGAGCUGGGGACCAUCAGGUUGCCUAAGGAGGGGUGAACCGGCCAAGGUCGGAAAUGGAGCAGGUCAAAACUCCCGUGCUCAUCCGUAGUGGGAUCGAGCCUGUAUAUAGCCACUGCACUCCAGCCUGGGUAACAUAGCGAGACCCUGUCUCU